rnacentral:rRNA from 1 species
UACGGAGGGGGCAAGCGUUAUUCGGAAUUAUUGGGCGUAAAGGGCGCGUAGGCGGCUAGAUGUGUCAAAGGUGAAAUCCCUCGGCUCAACUGAGGAACUGCCUUUGAAACUGUCUGGCUUGAGGCCGGGAGAGGGUAGCGGAAUUCCCAGUGUAGCGGUGAAGUGCGUAGAUAUUGGGAAGAACACCGGUGGCGAAGGCGGCUCUCUGGACCGACACUGACGCUGAGGCGCGAAAGCGUGGGGAGCAAACAGG